AUAUAUUUUUUUUUUUUUUUUUUUUUUUUUUUUUUUUUUUUUUUUUUUUUUUUUUUUUUUUUUUUUUUUUUUUUUUUUUUUUUUUUUUUUUUUUUUUUUUUUUUUUUUUUUUUUUUUUUUUUUUUUUUUUUUUUUUUUUUUUUUUUUUUUUUUGUUUUUUUUUUUUUUUUUUUUUUUUUUUUUUUUUUUUUUUUUUUUUUUGAAGAUGAGUUUCUCUCCGUAUGUCAUUGCAGUGACAGAAAUCUUGGAGAAAUCUCAGACCAGAUGCUAAGGACCAUCAUGCUGGCCUCAGGAAACACCUUACUGACGUCAUCAUUCCCACAAUCCACGUGGUGACGUCACAGACACCCCACUACCCGUGUGGCGUGACGUCAUCCAGUCACACUACGUGAGUGGUGACCGACGGCAGAUUACACAGAAGAGGCGAGGAUGCGUGGCUGCGAGCGAUGGCUAGCAGCGUCGGCGGCCUCGACUUCCCUCACGCCGAUGAUCCUGGUGGCGGCGGUGGCACUGGCCCUCCCCCUGCCCCACCUGGCUUCCCCCUCCCC